CGGUUGCAGUGACCGACGUGGCACCGACGUCGAACGAUGUCGAUCAACCCUUCGACGACGGACAGUUUAUUAAUAGAUCAAGACAACACCGGAUAUGCUGGCGAUGACUCUAGUAGUGAUGAUGAAUCUUCGUCAUUGAAUGCA